rnacentral:tRNA from 1 species
AUUUAUAUAGUUUAAAAAACAUUACAUUUUCAUUGUAAAAUUAAGAAUAAUUUAUUCUUUAUAAAUA